rnacentral:rRNA from 1 species
GAUGAACGCUGGCGGCGUGCCUAAUACAUGCAAGUCGAGCGAACAGACGAGGAGCUUGCUCCUCUGACGUUAGCGGCGGACGGGUGAGUAACACGUGGAUAACCUACCUAUAAGACUGGGAUAACUUCGGGAAACCGGAGCUAAUACCGGAUAAUAUAUUGAACCGCAUGGUUCAAUAGUGAAAGACGGUUUUGCUGUCACUUAUAGAUGGAUCCGCGCCGCAUUAGCUAGUUGAUAAGGUAACGGCUUACCAAGGCAACGAUGCGUAGCCGACCUGAGAGGGUGAUCGGCCACACUGGAACUGAGACACGGUCCAGACUCCUACGGGAGGCAGCAGUAGGGAAUCUUCCGCAAUGGGCGAAAGCUUGACGGAGCAACGCCGCGUGAGUGAUGAAGGUCUUCGGAUCGUAAAACUCUGUUAUUAGGGAAGAACAAAUGUGUAAGUAACUAUGCACGUCUUGACGGUACCUAAUCAGAAAGCCACGGCUAACUACGUG